rnacentral:rRNA from 1 species
UGCAGUCGAGCGGACAGAAGGGAGCUUGCUCCCGGAUGUUAGCGGCGGACGGGUGAGUAACACGUGGGUAACCUGCCUGUAAGACUGGGAUAACUCCGGGAAACCGGAGCUAAUACCGGAUAGUUCCUUGAACCGCAUGGUUCAAGGAUGAAAGACGGUUUCGGCUGUCACUUACAGAUGGACCCGCGGCGCAUUAGCUAGUUGGUGAGGUAACGGCUCACCAAGGCGACGAUGCGUAGCCGACCUGAGAGGGUGAUCGGCCACACUGGGACUGAGACACGGCCCAGACUCCCUACGGGAGGCAGCAGUAGGGAAUCUUCCGCAAUGGACGAAAGUCUGACGGAGCAACGCCGCGUGAGUGAUGAAGGUUUUCGGAUCGUAAAGCUCUGUUGUUAGGGAAGAACAAGUGCAAGAGUAACUGCUUGCACCUUGACGGUACCUAACCAGAAAGCCACGGCUAACUACGUGCCAGCAGCCGCGGUAAUACGUAGGUGGCAAGCGUUGUCCGGAAUUAUUGGGCGUAAAGGGCUCGCAGGCGGUUUCUUAAGUCUGAUGUGAAAGCCCCCGGCUCAACCGGGGAGGGUCAUUGGAAACUGGGAAACUUGAGUGCAGAAGAGGAGAGUGGAAUUCCACGUGUAGCGGUGAAAUGCGUAGAGAUGUGGAGGAACACCAGUGGCGAAGGCGACUCUCUGGUCUGUAACUGACGCUGAGGAGCGAAAGCGUGGGGAGCGAACAGGAUUAGAUACCCUGGUAGUCCACGCCGUAACGAUGAGUGCUAAGUGUUAGGGGGUUUCCGCCCCUUAGUGCUGCAGCUAACGCAUUAAGCACUCCGCCUGGGGAGUACGGUCGCAAGACUGAACUCAAAGGAAUUGACGGGGGCCCGCACAAGCGGUGGAGCAUGUGGUUUAAUUCGAAGCAACGCGAAGAACCUUACCAGGUCUUGACAUCCUCUGACAACCCUAGAGAUAGGGCUUUCCCUUCGGGGACAGAGUGACAGGUGGUGCAUGGUUGUCGUCAGCUCGUGUCGUGAGAUGUUGGGGUUAAGUCCCGCAACGAGCGCAACCCUUGAUCUUAGUUGCCAGCAUUUAGUUGGGCACUCUAAGGUGACUGCCGGUGACAAACCGGAGGAAGGUGGGGAUGACGUCAAAUCAUCAUGCCCCUUAUGACCUGGGCUACACACGUGCUACAAUGGACAGAACAAAGGGCUGCGAGACCGCAAGGUUUAGCCAAUCCCACAAAUCUGUUCUCAGUUCGGAUCGCAGUCUGCAACUCGACUGCGUGAAGCUGGAAUCGCUAGUAAUCGCGGAUCAGCAUGCCGCGGUGAAUACGUUCCCGGGCCUUGUACACACCGCCCGUCACACCACGAGAGUUUGCAACACCCGAAGUCGGUGAGGUAACCUUUAUGGAGCCAGCCGCCGAAGGUGGGGCAGAUGAUUGGGUGA